rnacentral:rRNA from 1 species
GCAUGGCUUGAUAAUCAAAGGAGCAAUCCGCUGAAAGAUGGGCUCGCGUCCGAUUAGGUAGUUGGCGGGGCAACGGCCCACCAAGCCGACGAUCGGUAGCCGGACUGAGAGGUUGAACGGCCACAUUGGGACUGAGACACGGCCCAGACUCCUACGGGAGGCAGCAGUGAGGGAUAUUGGUCAAUGGGGGAAACCCUGAACCAGCAACGCCGCGUGAGGGAAGACGGUUUUCGGAUUGUAAACCUCUGUCCUCUGUGAAGAUGAUGACGGUAGCAGAGGAGGAAGCUCCGGCUAACUACGUGCCAGCAGCCGCGGUAAUACGUAGGGAGCAAGCGUUGUCCGGAUUUACUGGGUGUAAAGGGUGCGUAGGCGGCUUUGCAAGUCAGAAGUGAAAUCCAUGGGCUCAACCCAUGAACUGCUUUUGAAACUGCAGAGCUUGAGUGGAGUAGAGGUAGGCGGAAUUCCCGGUGUAGCGGUGAAAUGCGUAGAGAUCGGGAGGAACACCAGUGGCGAAGGCGGCCUGCUGGGCUCUAACUGACGCUGAGGCACGAAAGCGUGGGUAGCAAACAGGAUUAGAUACCCUGGUAGUCCACGCUGUAAACGAUGAUUACUAGGUGUGGGUGGACUGACCCCAUCCGUGCCGGAG